CCUACGGGCGGCAGCAGUGAGGAAUAUUGGUCAAUGGACGAGAGUCUGAACCAGCCAAGUAGCGUGAAGGAUGACUGCCCUAUGGGUUGUAAACUUCUUUUAUAUGGGAAUAAAACGUUCCACGUGUGGGAUUUUGUAUGUACCAUAUGAAUAAGGAUCGGCUAACUCCGUGCCAGCAGCCGCGGUAAUACGGAGGAUCCGAGCGUUAUCCGGAUUUAUUGGGUUUAAAGGGAGCGUAGGAGGAUUGUUAAGUCAGUUGUGAAAGUUUGCGGCUCAACCGUAAAAUUGCAGUUGAAACUGGCAGUCUUGAGUACAGUAGAGGUGGGCGGAAUUCGUGGUGUAGCGGUGAAAUGCUUAGAUAUCACGAAGAACUCCGAUUGCGAAGGCAGUUCACUGGACUGCAACUGACACUGAGGCUCGAAAGUGUGGGUAUCAAACAGGAUUAGAUACCCUUGUAGUC
rnacentral:rRNA from 1 species